GGUUUAAGACAGUUGUGGGACACAAUAUUUACCGUAAACCAAGUUUAAAGGUUUAAACUCCGGUUAAACUAAGUUGUGAAACUGGCCCUUAAUCCAUAAUUUAACGGGAUCACCAAAACAUGCUGUAGGCAACGACGUCAACCAUGGUAUCCGCCAUUGCGUGCAACUGCGUAUCAGGCGAUUCGAUUAUCCGUCGGUGAAUCGAGAGCCUCGAAAUGUCGCGGUCGCAGCGUACGUAGCGCGCGAAAUAUAAACGUAGAGUCGAGGCAAAACUUAAAAACUGUAUUUAUAAAGAUACAGAGCCCUCAUUGGAUAUCACUCAUCGCUCGUUGUCCAUCACGUUCAGUGUGCAAGGCUCAUUCAUGUCACAGAUAUCUAUACUAAACUAGAUCGCUAACCUGUGGCAUUAGCAUAUGACAGUAUUGAGGCAGGAAGGAUAUCCGGUUUCAGCCAUGUUACCUACAACAAAAUGGCAGCUCCAAUGCCGCUCUAAUGCCGCUCUUGCUUGUCAUUAUGGCACGAUAUCGAAAAAACACACUCGAUAAUCGCAAUUAAUAUGCUCAACGGUGCUCAGCGGUUAACCGGUUUAGUUGUCAAACCUGUCAAACACAUACGCACUAACCUAAUCUACGCGUAGACGCCAUUUUCUUGUUGGGUAAGAUGGCCGAAUCCGGAUAUCCUGUCGGACACAGCUAUUCAGCCGAAGGUAGCGAUCUAGUUGUUAGAUAGAUAUCUGUGAUUCAUGUUAUUAAUGAUUGCCGAAUUAAUUACUACACUUUACACAUCACCAUUAAGAGUUGGUUUAUAGCCGUUACCGUAAGAAAUUUACCAAUCGUAGUCGACUAUUCUUUUAUAAAUCGACCAUAAUUGGUCAAAUUCUUAUGGUUACGGCUAUUAUAAACCAACUUUAACUUAAUCGACUGAUUUGUCUCUCGGAAUUGACCAAAUCGCAUUUGUCGUUUUUAUUUAACGACAAAUACGAUUGGUCAAUUCCGAUAGAAAAAUCAGCCGAUUAAGUUAAUCGGCAUUGGUGCAAGUGGCCCUUAAUAACAUCCGUAUGAAACUGGCCAAUUAGUCAUUCCAUUCUUUAAAGAAAUAUUUAUAAUUUAAACGUAGUAAAUUACAUCAUUAGGCCUGUUCGUGUUGCUGCCCUUUUUGAAUUAAUUUUUUUGUCGUCUUUCUCUCUUUCUUACGAUCGAAUAUAUAUUUAUUUCAUCUCGAGUGCAAAAAUUUUUGAGGAUUUCAAGCAACUCGAACAAACCUAUUAGCAUUUGCGAUGGCCAAUCAGGGCUCGUAAUACCAAUCAUUCGCUUCUUUUCCAGAUAUCUAGGGUUCUAGUUGAAGUGAGCUUUGGUACAAUGGAGCAUUUGGUUGGCUGCACUGUUCCGCACUAACGCACUCUCUAGGUAUUUAUAUAAAAGUACAUACGCGAGACAUAUCACUGAUCACAAUUGAUAAAACAUCAAGUUAUGUUAAAAAUAUGCAUCAAUUUAUUUCGAUGGAGACAUCAGGCGGGAGAAAAGAGGGAAAGACACUGGAGAGCAAUCUUUUAGCACCGGGAAGAAGAAUGACGCAGGGAUUUCGAAACGGUUUUAUAAAAAGUCUAUAUCAAGCCACGCAUUGGAAAUUGGAGAAUUUGACUAAUGAGAACGAAAUGGAUUGAAAUUAUUUGAUCGAUCAAAUUCUAAUCAUCACAAGUCGCAAUCUUCAACCUCCAAUACGCACAAUCAUCGCUUUGCAUUGGAACUGGAACGCGUAUUCUCAAAUUAUUGAGGCCUCUUCGAGGACCACUCUCUUGGUCACAAACAUCUGGAUUCUAGGAUCUAAUUUUAGAGCGCGACACCUCGAUUUAAACCAUGUGGAUCGUGGAGAGCAUUUCCUCCGUGCGACAAUUAACCAUUUCAUUUUAUAAGUAUUACAUUCUCGGUGGUUCUCACGAUUAUGUUACUUUGUUACCGCAAUCGCAUAACGGCUUGCAUUUGACAUCUUCCGGUUGGAAAUAAACUAUUCGAGAUAGAGGAAAAACCAUUUAUAGCAAGAAACCGCUCUUUUCGUCGAAUUCACGUCCGUGAUCCUAGAAAACGUCGCAGUUUUCUUUCCGAUCCGUUUUCCAAGAAAACUCGAUCCGCGUCAUGCGAAUUGAUAAACGGCCUGGAAACAAUACGCAUUUUACGUCGUCUUCAGCGUGACGAAAUUCUACGACGCUUUUGCGUGUGGCGCGGUAUUAUCGGAGGCGGCAAACUUUUCGCAAAGAAAAAAACCGCAUAAUCGCGGUCGCCGUAAUCGUGUCCUUCGACGAGGCGUACUUCUUUUUACUCGCUCGCGAAUUUUUAUGGCAUAAACGUGCGCGCAAGAACACUCAUCCUCGCGAAAGCUCGCGCAGCAUGAAAUAUUUGUUGUGAAUCAUUUUCUGAAAAGUUUUAAUGAAACAUUUCAGAAAAUUUCGUAAAUAUAUAUUUAAAAACGUUUAAAAAUAUUAUACAUUAAAAUAUUUCACAAAACAUUCUAGAAAUAUAUUGUACAAAUAUUAUAAGAAAUAUUUCUAAUAGAUUGUUUUGAAUCUUUCA